CGCGGGGUGGAGCAGUCUGGUAGCUCGUUGGGCUCAUAACCCAAAGGUCGGAGGUUCAAAUCCUCCCCCCGCUA
rnacentral:tRNA from 4 species